rnacentral:rRNA from 1 species
UACGGAGGGUGCAAGCGUUAUCCGGAUUCACUGGGUUUAAAGGGUGCGUAGGUGGGUUGGUAAGUCAGUGGUGAAAUCUCCGUGCUUAACAUGGAAACUGCCAUUGAUACUACUGAUCUUGAAUUUUCAGGAGGUAAGCGGAAUAUGUCAUGUAGCGGUGAAAUGCUUAGAUAUGACAUAGAACACCAAUUGCGAAGGCAGCUUACUACCCGAAUAUUGACACUGAGGCACGAAAGCGUGGGGAUCAAACAGG